UACUCGAGUGGCGAACGGGUGAGUAACACGUGGGUGAUCUGCCCUGUACUUUGGGAUAAGCCUGGGAAACUGGGUCUAAUACCGAAUAUGACCACUUCUUGGAUGGGGUGGUGGAAAGCUUUUGCGGUAUGGGAUGAGCUCGCGGCCUAUCAGCUUGUUGGUGGGGUAAUGGCCUACCAAGGCGUCGACGGGUAGCCGGCCUGAGAGGGUGUACGGCCACAUUGGGACUGAGAUACGGCCCAGACUCCUACGGGAGGCAGCAGUGGGGAAUAUUGCACAAUGGGCGCAAGCCUGAUGCAGCGACGCCGCGUGGGGGAUGACGGCCUUCGGGUUGUAAACUCCUUUCGCAACCGACGAAGCUUUUGUGACGGUAGGUUGAGAAGAAGCACCGGCUAACUACGUGCCAGCAGCCGCGGUAAUACGUAGGGUGCGAGCGUUGUCCGGAAUUACUGGGCGUAAAGAGCUCGUAGGUGGUUUGUCGCGUCGUUUGUGGAAUACCGCAGCUUAACUGCGGGGUUGCAGGCGAUACGGGCAUAACUUGAGUGCUGUAGGGGAGACUGGAAUUCCUGGUGUAGCGGUGGAAUGCGCAGAUAUCAGGAGGAACACCGAUGGC
rnacentral:rRNA from 1 species